ACUCCUACGGGAGGCAGCAGUGGGGAAUAUUGCACAAUGGGCGCAAGCCUGAUGCAGCCAUGCCGCGUGUGUGAAGAAGGCCUUCGGUUGUAAAGCACUUUCAGUCGUGAGGAAGGUAGUGUAGUUAAUAGCUGCAUUAUUUGACGUUAGCGACAGAAGAAGCACCGGCUAACUCCGUGCCAGCAGCCGCGGUAAUACGGAGGGGUGCGAGCGUUAAUCGGAAUUACUGGGCGUAAAGCGCAUGCAGGUGGUUUGUUAAGUCAGAUGUGAAAGCCCGGGGCUCAACCUCGGAAUAGCAUUUGAAACUGGCAGACUAGAGUACUGUAGAGGGGGUAGAAUUUCAGGUGUAGCGGUGAAAUGCGUAGAGAUCUGAAGGAAUACCGGUGGCGAAGGCGGCCCCCUGGACAGAUACUGACACUCAGAUGCGAAAGCGUGGGGAGCAAACAGGAUUAGA
rnacentral:rRNA from 1 species